AGGUCUGCUUAGUACGGCGAGUGAAGCGGCAAAAGCUCAAAUUUGAAAUCUGGUACCUUCGGUGCCCGAGUUGUAAUUUGGAGAGGGCAACUUUGGGGCCGUUCCUUGUCUAUGUUCCUUGGAACAGGACGUCAUAGAGGGUGAGAAUCCCGUGUGGCGAGGAGUGCGGUUCUUUGUAAAGUGCCUUCGAAGAGUCGAGUUGUUUGGGAAUGCAGCUCUAAGUGGGUGGUAAAUUCCAUCUAAAGCUAAAUAUUGGCGAGAGACCGAUAGCGAACAAGUACAGUGAUGGAAAGAUGAAAAGAACUUUGAAAAGAGAGUGAAAAAGUACGUGAAAUUGUUGAAAGGGAAGGGCAUUUGAUCAGACAUGGUGUUUUGUGCCCUCUGCUCCUUGUGGGUAGGGGAAUCUCGCAUUUCACUGGGCCAGCAUCAGUUUUGGUGGCAGGAUAAAUCCAUAGGAAUGUAGCUUGCCUCGGUAAGUAUUAUAGCCUGUGGGAAUACUGCCAGCUGGGACUGAGGACUGCGACGUAAGUCAAGGAUGCUGGCAUAAUGGUUAUAUGCCGCCCGUCUUGACACCCCGAGAACACAAAAA
rnacentral:rRNA from 1 species